rnacentral:rRNA from 1 species
GACGAACGCUGGCGGCGUGCUUAGCACAUGCAAGUCGAACGAAGAGCGAUGGAAGCUUGCUUCUAUCAAUCUUAGUGGCGAACGGGUGAGUAACGCGUAAUCAACCUGCCCUUCAGAGGGGGACAACAGUUGGAAACGACUGCUAAUACCGCAUACGAUCUAACCUCGGCAUCGAGGAUAGAUGAAAGGUGGCCUCUACAUGUAAGCUAUCACUGAAGGAGGGGAUUGCGUCUGAUUAGCUAGUUGGAGGGGUAACGGCCCACCAAGGCGAUGAUCAGUAGCCGGUCUGAGAGGAUGAACGGCCACAUUGGGACUGAGACACGGCCCAGACUCCUACGGGAGGCAGCAGUGGGGAAUCUUCCGCAAUGGACGAAAGUCUGACGGAGCAACGCCGCGUGAGUGAUGACGGCCUUCGGGUUGUAAAGCUCUGUUAAUCGGGACGAAAGGCCUUCUUGCGAA